AUGUUCCGGUGCGGCGGCGGUGGCGGUGGCAGGGGCAAGACGGUGGCUGGGAGCACCAGCACGGGCGCUGAGCUUCCCGUCGAUGGAGCUGUGCGGGUGACAAAAGUGGACAGGAUCCAGGCUUACAACCUCGUCUCCAGGCCGUCGGUGCACCACGCCAUCGCGCCGGCGACGUCGGGGCCGGCGGAGAGCCUGGCCGUCAGUGUUGUCCGGGUAGGGGACGUCGUGGACGAAGCUGUGCGGGUGACCAAAGUGGACAGGAUCCAGGCUUACAAUCUCGUCUCCAGGCCAUCGGUGCACCACGCCAUCUCGCCGGCGGCGUCGGGGCCGGCGGAGAGCCUGGCCGUCAGUGUUGUCCGGGUAGGGGACGUCGUGGACGAAGCUGUGCGGGUGACGAAAGUGGACAGGAUCCAGGCUUACAAUCUCGUCUCCAGGCCGUCGGUGCACCACGCCAUCUCGCCGGCAGCGUCGGGGCCGGCGGAGAGCCUGCCCGUCAGGGUUGUCCGGUUCGGGGACGUCGUGGACGAAGAAUCCGACGGCCUCAUCUCGGUGACCAUCACAUAG
rnacentral:rRNA from 1 species